UACAGAGGGUGCGAGCGUUAAUUGGAAUUACUGGGCGUAAAGCGUGCGUAGACGGUUAUUUAAGUCGGGUGUGAAAGCCCCGGGCUCAACCUGGGAAUUGCAUUCGAGACUGAAUAGCUAGGGUGCGGUAGAGGGAAGCGGAAUUUCCGGUGUAGCGGUGAAAUGCGUAGAUAUCGGAAGGAACAUCAGUGGCGAAAGCGGCUUCCUGGACCAGCACCGACGUUCAGGCACGAAAGCGUGGGGAGCAAACAGGA
rnacentral:rRNA from 1 species